UACGUAGGAGGCAAGCGUUGUCCGGAAUUACUGGGCGUAAAGCGCGUGUAGGUGGUGGGACAAGUCUGCUGUGAAAGCGCCUGGCUUAACCGGGCGAGGUCGGCGGAAACUGCCUCACUUGAGGACGGUAGAGGGGGGUGGAAUUCCCGGUGUAGUGGUGAAAUGCGUAGAGAUCGGGAGGAACACCUGUGGCGAAGGCGGCCCCCUGGGCCGGCCCUGACACUGAGACGCGAAGGCGUGGGUAGCAAACAGG
rnacentral:rRNA from 1 species